GAUGAAGAACGUAGCGAAAUGCGAUACGUAAUGUGAAUUGCAGAAUUCAGUGAAUCAUCGAGUCUUUGAACGCACAUUGCGCCCCCUGGUAUUCCGAAGGGCAUGCCUGUUCGAGCGUCAUUAUCAACCCUCAAGCCCGGCUUGCCGUUGGGUCCCGUAGGGGUGCGAAUCUCAACGGACCUCAAAGAUAGUGGCAGAGCCCGUACGGACCCUGGAUGCAGCGAGCUUUCUGGCACGCAUCACAGCAAUCCGCCGGCUCGGUCUUAACCGUCAAUUUUUUUUCACUGGUUGACCUCGGAUCAGGUAGGGAUACCCGCUGAACUUAAGCAUAUCAAUAAGCGGAGGA
rnacentral:misc_RNA from 1 species